UAGGAAGUGGUGUAGUGGAAGCACGGAGAGUUUUGAACUCUUUAGGAAGGGUUCGACCCCCUUCUUUCUAG
rnacentral:tRNA from 1 species